UACGUAGGCAGCGAGCGUUGUUCGGAGUUACUGGGCGUAAAGGGCGCGUAGGCGGGUCAUUAAGUUUGUUGUUAAAUCCUCUGGCUUAACCAGAGACAAGCAAUAAAAACUGGUAACCUAGAGCGUGAGAGAGAGAAGUGGAAUUCCCGGAGUAGCGGUAAAAUGCGUAGAUCUCGGGAGGAACACCAAUGGCGAAGGCUGCUUCUUGGCUCAUUGCUGACGCUGAGGCGCGAAAGCGUGGGGAGCAAACAGG
rnacentral:rRNA from 1 species